UAAAAUUUGUUACAAGGAAGAAACGAAUUGUAAAAAAUUAUAACCUGUAACAUAAAUAAACAACAGAUGGCGUAACAUUGGAUUAUUUCAGCAAUUUUUCCAGAGUUAAAACAACUCAUGAUUACCCGAUCGAUGAAAGCCGAUCAUGACCAUUUGGGAUGAAAAACUAAUUGAGCAAUUCAACUCAUCAAUCUUCGCUUUUCUGCAUUUACGUGCCUCAAGUGGUCAUCAAACCUUCUGAACCUACUUCUGAUCAUAGAUAUGAAGCUCAAAAAAUAAGAGACAACCUAUUUCUAGUUUUAGAGUCCACGCCUUGACGCCUUUCAUCUCAAAAAUGGUAUUUUUUAAAACGAUUUCAAUGGUAACCCAAUCCAGACUGGAUUCACAAAGAUCAGAGGAAAGAGUCGACUAUCUGUUUCAUGUUGAAGCUAAAGCAGGGAAACAUUAACUGGACGAGCAAAUAAAACAACAUAGGUUACAUAAUGUGGCAUAGAGUGUAUCACAAGGAGUAAAGGCAGGAAUAACAAGACUUAUUAUUAAUAUUACAACAACAGGAGAAGCAGAAGCAACAACAGUAACAAAAAGAGAAAGAUAAAUAACAUGAUUGAGAUGGCUGAACUGCAUUGAACAAGGCAAGUUGACUCCAUGUAAACAGUCCACUGAUGUCCAGUUGAUUAACUAUUCUCCUAGUUUACUUUCAUCAUCAUCAUGAAAAGCAACAACAAACAUAAUCUUGCCUCCUUUUCCUCCUCCUGACCAUCCCUUGAAUGUGUACCAGGAAUAAGAUAGCAAGCUACAAGGCCUACAAGCCCUUGGAGGAUUUCAUUAAAUGUUCACAACUCUUUGCUUUCAUAUUAAAUGUCACUGAUUCUUUUUCAUUCUCAUCUUAAUUGACUUUUAGUUUGCCGUUUCAUCUUUACGUCUUCUUGUUCAUCCAAGUUUCCUGUUACAAAUGAUGAAAUAUAACUACAAGGUGGAGAAUCCAUGAAGAACCCUGAAGAGUCCGUAGAUAAACCAGGAAAAGUCCAAUAAUGAAAGAUGAUUUUACUUAAUACAUCAUAUCAUCUUCCUGAUGAGUUUAUUUUUUCAAGCCAAGGCAGAAAGAAGACCAUGAAAACAAUCCAAAAACUGGACAACCUGUCAGUCUAAAAGAAAAAUUAUUCUCAGAGAAUGAGAAAAGUCAAUGCAGAAAUGAGCCCAAUUUGACCAUAUUUAUCACCAUCAUCGCCCUGACCAUGCAAAACAAGCUUCACUUGAUCAACAAAUUAUCCAUCAUCAAGAUUAACUGAAAAUUUGCAAACAAAAAUCAACUGUAAACAAGAAAUGAUUGAUAUUGGCCACAUUUCAACAUAAAACAGUUAACAAUGACUACUCUUGAAAUGAUUAUUAAUCUACUGGACGAAGCUGUAAUAUCAUCAAACAAAAUUAAAUUGUAUUAAACAAAUGGUCGAGCAAAUGUCAUCACCGUUGGCAGCCUUUAACUACAAUUAAUCAUGCAAGGAAUGGCCAACGAUCACCAUUAAAAGACACAUUUAAACAUGUAAACAAGUCGAGAAAGCUCAAGAAAUAUUGGAGGAAAAAGAAGGAAAAGAUGAAAAUCAAUUUUCAACAUUAUUGCAGACUUUCAUUUAAUCAAACUCAAUUGCUUGAAUGGCAACUCAAGUUGAUGACUUUACCCAAAGAUUAAUCGUUUACGAUGCAAAAACAAACCUUCAAAAUUAAGGUCACAGUUGAACAUUUAAAAGCCAAACCCUAGGAAUCCUUCCAACAUUAAAAAUCGCAAACACCAUUUACUUUAAAGUAAAAAUUGCCAUUGAUUCAACAUUGAUAAAUGAGCUAUUUAAAGCGACUCGAUUAUGCUGUAAAAGACACACAUCAAGAUUGAACAUUUACAGAGGUUAAAUUACACACCAAAUCGUGCCAAUGACCAGUAAUAAGUCUAAUUCAUUUGGAACAAUUUAAAGACACAAUUUCAAUUCAAUUUGGAUUCAAUUAAGAGGAAAACAAAAAGAGGAGACUAAAUAAAAACAAUAAGAUUGGGAAGAGAAAACAUGUUUUAUUUAGUUUUUCACAUUUGUUUCAAUAGAGCACAAUUUUAAUGUACAAUUUGCUUCUUGUUUCCUCCUUUUCUCCUCCUCCUUCAAUUCUGAUCCAUCCAUAACUUAUCCCAGUGGCAUCCUCCUCCUCAUCAUCCUCCUUAUCCUCUUCACUUUCAUCAUCUUUACUUGCCAUCUUGCCCUCCCAAAAAACCGUCAGGGGCCAGAGAAGAAGCAAUAUUUUACUCGAAAAAAAAAGAAGAGGAAAAACAAAUUUCACUUUAUAUUCGUUUUUGUUUUCAACUUAACACACCAAGGUCACAAUCCUGAUGAUCAAGAUGAAGAUGAUGAUGAAGAUGAUGAAGACCAAGCAAGAGAUGAUGAAGCUUCUGAAGCCGACAUAUUUUUAGGCGAUAUCAGAGUUGGUUUGGUAAAACAAAGAAGCUUUAGUUUCUCAAGUUAAUUUUCAACGGCCAAUAAUGUUGAUGAGGAUAAAGAUGAAGUUUGAUGAUAAUGAAGAUGAUAAAGACGAUGAUGAAAAGUAGAUGAAAGGAGAAACAAUUUUCCUCAACAAAGGACUUUAUUAGCUUUCUUUUCAGGCUUAAAAUUUACACUGAAUUUACCUUUAAUCUUUCAAAUCUUUUCAUCUUAAUGUUGAUCAUUUUCAUCAUCCUUCAAUCCUCACUCACCAUUCACAUAAACAAUCCUCAUUCCCAUCAUCAAUACCCAUUGUAAGUGUAACUAAUUAGCUGAAUAAUUGUGAGAUUUAAAGUGAAAAUUUGAUUCCAUUUACAG